rnacentral:lncRNA from 1 species
CCUUUGUCUGUUGCAGGAAAACAAAAGAUUGAUGAUGGCAGCGAGAUGCAACGCCAGGGAAGUCACCAAAACCGGGGCAGAAAAUUUUCUGCCGAUUGUCGAAAAUUUUCUCAAAAGAACGGGGAAGCAAUUUGAAUACAUUUAAGUUCUAGGUCGCCGACCAGUAUAAUGCGGGAAUACUUUUAAGUUCUAGGUCGCCCACCAGUAUAAUGCGGGAAUACUUUUAAGUUCUAGGUCGCCCACCAGUAUAAUGCGGGAAUACAUUUAAGUUCUAGGUCGCCCACCAGUAUAAUGCGGGAAUACAUUUAAGUCCUAGGUCGCCCACCAGUAUAAUGCGGGAAUACAUUUAAAGUUCUAGGUCGCCCACCAGUAUAAUGCGUGAAUACAUUUAAGUUCUAN